rnacentral:misc_RNA from 1 species
AACGCACCUUGCGCCCUCUGGUAUUCCGGAGGGCAUGCCUGUUUGAGUGUCAUGUAGACUCAACCCCUCGGGUUUCCGAGAAGGUUGGAUUUGGACGUUUGCCUGUCAUGGGCUCGUCUUAAAGGUCUUAGCGGUUACACAGCACCGUAGUCGGCGUAAUAAGUUUCGUCGAUGAGGGUGUGGUGUCUGCUUACAAUCGCCUCACGGCAAUCUUUUGACUCUGACCUCAAAUCAGGUAGGACUACCCGCUGAACUUAA